CCCGAAACCGACACAGGUGGUCAGGUCGAGUAGACCAAAGCGCUUGAGAGAACUCUGCUGAAGGAACUAGGCAAAAUGGUACCGUAACUUCGGGAGAAGGUACGCUGUCGACGGUGAUUCCCCUCGCGGGAUGAGCGGUUGACAGCCACAGAAACCAGGCCCCUGCAACUGUUUAUUAAAAACAUAGCACUCUGCAAACACGAAAGUGGACGUAUAGGGUGUGAUGCCUGCCCGGUGCUGGAAGGUUAAUUGAUGGGGUUAGCGUAAGCGAAGCUCUUGAUCGAAGCCCCAGUAAACGGCGGCCGUAACUAUAACGGUCCUAAGGUAGCGAAAUUCCUUGUCGGGUAAGUUCCGACCUGCACGAAUGGCAUAAUGAUGGGGGCGCUGUCUCCAGCAGAGACUCAGUGAAAUCGAAAUCGCCGUGAAGAUGCGGUGUACCCGCGGCUAGACGGAAAGACCCCGUGAACCUUUACUGCAGCUUGACAUUGAACUUUGAUCUUACUUGUGUAGGAUAGGUGGGAGGCUUUGAAACCGAGACGCUAGUUUCGGUGGAGCCAAUCUUGAAAUACCACCCUGGUAAUAUUGAGGUUCUAACUCUGCUCCAUAAUCUGGAGCGAGGACCAUGUCUGGUGGGUAGUUUGACUGGGGCGGUCUCCUCCUAAAGAGUAACGGAGGAGUACGAAGGUGCGCUCAGCGUGGUCGGAAAUCACGCGUAGAGUAUAAAGGCA
rnacentral:rRNA from 1 species